rnacentral:rRNA from 1 species
AGGGGCUUCGGCCCUGAGUAGAGUGGCGAACGGGUGAGUAACACGUGGGUGAUCUACCUUCGAGUGGGGGAUAACGUUCCGAAAGGAGCGCUAAUACCGCAUGACGUUCUGGGUUUAAAGACCUGGUAACCAAAGUCGGGGACCGUAAGGCCUGACGCUGGAAGAGGAGCCCGCGCCUGAUUAGCUAGUUGGUGAGGUAAUGGCUCACCAAGGCGACGAUCAGUAGCCGGCCUGAGAGGGCGGACGGCCACACUGGGACUGAGACACGGCCCAGACUCCUACGGGAGGCAGCAGUGGGGAAUUGUUCGCAAUGGGCGCAAGCCUGACGACGCAACGCCGCGUGGAGGAUGAAGGUCUUCGGAUUGUAAACUCCUGUUGACCGGGACGAAUGGACUCCGUUCUAACACAACGGAGUAAUGACGGUACCGGUUGAGGAAGCCACGGCUAACUCUGUGCCAGCAGCCGCGGUAAUACAGAGGUGGCAAGCGUUGUUCGGAAUUACUGGGCGUAAAGGGCGCGUAGGCGGCCUUCUAAGUCGGACGUGAAAUCCCCAGGCUUAACUUGGGAACUGCGUCCGAUACUGGAGGGCUCGAGUGCGGGAGAGGGAUGUGGAAUUCCAGGUGUAGCGGUGAAAUGCGUAGAUAUCUGGGAGGAACACCGGUGGCGAACGCGGCAUCCUGGACCGACACUGACGCUGACGCGCGAAAGCUAUGGGAGCAAACGGGAUUAGAUACCCCGGUAGUCCUAGCCCUAAACGAUGAGUGCUUGGUGU